UACGUAGGGUGCAAGCGUUGUCCGGAAUUAUUGGGCGUAAAGGGCUCGUAGGCGGUCCAUCGCGUCGGGAGUGAAAAGCUGGGGCUUAACCCCAGUCCUGCUUCCGAUACGGGUGGACUAGAGGUAUGCAGGGGAGAACGGAAUUCCUGGUGUAGCGGUGAAAUGCGCAGAUAUCAGGAGGAACACCAAUGGCGAAGGCAGCACUCUGGGACGUGACUGACGCUGAGACGCGAAAGCGUGGGGAGCAAACAGG
rnacentral:rRNA from 1 species